rnacentral:rRNA from 1 species
UACGUGGGGUGCGAGCGUUGUCCGGAAUUAUUGGGCGUAAAGAGCUUGUAGGCGGUUUGUCGCGUCUGCUGUGAAAAUCCGGGGCUCAACCCCGGACUUGCAGUGGGUACGGGCAGGCUAGAGUGUGGUAGGGGGAGACUGGAAUUCCUGGUGUAGCGGUGGAAUGCGCAGAUAUCAGGAGGAACACCGAUGGCGAAGGCAGGUCUCUGGGCCACUACUGACGCUGAGAAGCGAAAGCAUGGGGAGCGAACAGG